GUUGGCAUUUCUGAGUUGCCAGCUCUUCACCUCCAGAUCUGGGGUACAUGGGCUUAACAGAGAACACAGGUUAACUCUUUGCUCUGUGGUUCCUCUGUCAUCGCGUACCUGGCUGGUUUGCCUUCUCUCCACUUUUCAGAGUCUUCUUAUGUUUGUUUUACGUACAGUUUCCAGGGUUUUCAGUUGUACUUCACAGGAGAAAUAAGGGGAAGAAGAUCUCCUUUUUCUUUUUAAAGCAGAAGUUUCAGUUACUUUUUUUUGUUUUCAAAUUUACUUUUUAUAAGUUACUUUUGUUACUAUGUAGAGAACAAACUGGGGGGGGGCGGGGGCGAAAGGGAGUAAGUUCAAGAAGAGCAGUGUAGGAAGACCCUGAGUUCACAUGCUUCCAUGGACACAUUGAAUCUAUACUUACUUAAUAGAGCCAUUUCUCCUGAAGAAGCGCUAAGGACUAGUUGAACAGCUUCUGCACAGCAAAGGAGAGAGCGGCUGCCUCCAGACGGGUCGGAGAGAUGGAGGUACCUCCAGGAGGAAGGGAUAGCUGGGAGGGGCUGGUGUGCAGACUUGCGUGCGCUGGGGUACCAGGCGAGAGGACUGUGCGUGCAGGAAGUCCACGCAUCAGACCUAACCCUGGAGCGUCGGCCUGUCGGUGGGGGUCUUCUGGAGCUCUCCUGGGCAGACUCGCCGGCGAGCAGAGUGCCGUUUUCCUUGUUCCCCUGACAUCUUGUUAGUGUAAGCAGGAAUGUGUUUGGUCAGGUUUGCCAGAGCCCUGUCAGUGUGCCUCCGGGCCCUGGCUCAAACCAGCUCCUACUGUCCCCCAAAGGGGCCCUGGCAUGCCAUGCUCUGUGGUCUCCCCCUAGUGUGCCCACCACAGUCACCCUGCCAAGGUGGGCCUCACGUGCCACCCGGACCCUUCCCUGCCGUGUCUACACCUGCCCCAGCUCCAGCCGUCUUGUCAAGGCAACUCUUGGAUGCCACCCUCAGCUGGCACCCACUUCAGCACCCCCCAAUACAUGCAGUCUAUAUAAGAGGCUCGCCUAUACACACACACACAGUCAAGAAUGGGAGAGGUAAUUGUUUUGCCUAAUUCAUAGAAACAGAGAAAGUUAAACAAAAUGAGGAGACAGAAAAUAUGUUCCCUAUGGAAGAACAAGAUAAAACCCCAGGAAGAAAUCCUAUGGAAAUGGAGAUAAUUUACCUGAUAAAGAGUUCAAAGUAAUAGUCAUACGCACGCUCCGUGAAAUUUGGAGGAGAAUGGAGAAACAGAAGAUGUCAACAGGGACUUUGAAAACAAAAGGAAAAACCAGUCAGAGCUGAAAAAUACAAAAAUUGGAAUAAAAAAUACGCUAUAGGGAAUAAACAGCAUAAAAAAUGAUAAGAAUCGAUCGGUGAUCUAGAAGAUAAAGUAGUGCAAAGCACCCAAUGAGAACAGCAAAAGAAGAAAGAGCUUAAAAGAAAUGGGAGUAGUUUAAGGGACUGCAGAGACAACAUCAAGCGUACUAACAUUCGCAUCUAGGACUCUCAAAAGGAGAGGAAAGAAAAGGGCAAAAACCGUGUGUGAUGAAAUAGUGACUUGACAACCUCCCUAACCUGGGCAGGGAAACAAAUAUUCAGGUCGAAGAAUUGCACAAAAUCCCAAAUCAGAUAAAGGCAAAGAGAUUCGCAUGAAUACCUAGCAUAAUUAAGACGGCACAAGGUAAAGAGAACAUUUUAAAAGCAGCAAAGGAAAACAGCUUGUCCCAUACAAGGGAAACCCCGUAAGGCUGACAGUUGAUUUCUCAGCAGAAAACAGGCAGGCCAGAAGGGAGUGCUGAAAGGGAAAAAAAUUUCAACCAAGACCAUUCUGCCUGCCAAGAUCAUCAUUCAGAAUUGGAGAGAGAGAGUUUCUCAGACAGCCAAAGACUAAAGCUGUUCACAACCACUAAACUGACCUUACUAGAAAAUUUAAGAGAGUGUUCUUUAAGCAGGAAAGAAAAAACCAUAACUUGGAAAAAGAAACUAUAUGAAAGAAAAAAAAUCUCACUGGUAACAGCAAAUAUAUAGUGAAGGCAGUGGUUCAGCCACCUAAAAAGGUAGUAUGAAUGUUAAUAGACAAAAGUCAUAAAAUCCACUGUAAUAAUUAUAUGAGAUAAAAACUAAAAAGACAUAAAAAGAUAUGACAUAAAAAUGUGGGAAGGUGAAGUAAAAAAUUGUAGUGAUUUUAGGAAGCAUUUUAAGUUACGCAACUAUUAGCUUAAAAUAAAUCACUGUAUACAGGUUGAUGGAGAAGGCAAUGGCACCCCGCUCCAGUGCUCUUGCCUGGAAAAUCCCAUGGACGGAGGAGCCUGGUGGGCUGCAGUCCAUGGGGUCGCUAAGAGUCAGACACGACUGAGCGACUUCACUUUCACUUUUCACUUUCAUGCACUGGAGAAGGCAAUGGCAACCCACUCCAGUACUCUUGCCUGGAGAAUCCCAGGGACAGAGGAGCCUAGUGGGCUGCCGUCUAUGGGGUCGCACAGAGUCGGACACGACUGAAGCGACUUAGCAGCAGCAGCAGCAGCAUACAGGUUGAUGUAUAUGAACUGUGUGCUAAACCACAAACCAAAACGUGCAAUCGGUUCACACGGACAAAACAGAAAGGAGCCUAAACAACGUGAAAGGAAGUUGUUCAAUCACAAGGGAAAAGAUCACAGAAAGAACGGAGCAGACAUAAACGAAGAACGGCUAACAAAUGACAGUAAGGAGUACCUGUCAAUAGCGCUUCAAAUGUAAACGGGAUGAACAGUCAACAGACAGAGGGCGACUGAAUGGAGACGCUGCCUACAGUAGAUUCACUCCAGAUCUAGAGGCACGCAAAGACCGAAAACGGAGGGAAGGAGAAAGAUGCUCCAUGGAAAUGGAAAUGGAAGGAAAGAUUACAUCAAGGCAACCAUUUGUUAUGCUUACGGAUUUGUGGACAAGAAAUUCAGAUGGGGAUGGCUUAUCUCUCCAUUCCGCAGUGUCCAAGACCUCAGCUGGAAGCUUGGAAAGCAGAGCCUGUGGUCAUCUGAAGGCUCAUCCACUGACGAGUUGAGUAGUUGGUGCUGAUGGAUGCUGAGGACUGUGAGCGUGGUGGGUGGAUUUCAGGGGUGAGCGUGAGGAGUGGAGAGGGAGGGUGAGACGGAAAGAGACGGAGGGAGAGGGGCGAGGGAGGCCGUUGGUGUCAGCAGCCUUGAAUGGAGUGGCAGUGCAGCUUGCCGCAUUCUGCUGCUGGGUGACUGUGUGAGUAUGGGGGCGCCCAGACGCAAGGCGAGGAGACUGGCUUUUCCCCUUGAUGCAAAAGCGACAAGGUCCUGAAGAGGAGUGUUGGUGCGAUCACUUUUAUAAAAUACAGUUUCCCACAUGGAGGCUCGGAGGGUUUAGAUGAUGCUCCCAAACAGCCAGUAAGUGGAGCCGCCUCAGCAGACCCGUCUCACUGGUCUCCGACUUUGUGUGCGCGUCCCUUGGUUCUAUCGAAGAGUAGAGUGUUGUGGGAUCAGCACCAUCUUAAAAGAACUGUUGUGAAUAAACGAGCGAAGAAAGUGACAUGAUAACUUGAAUUUGGAGUUUUGACUCUUACAGAAGGCUUCGAGAUUUGCACGUCACUGAGACCAUAGUUUGUAUGUUUUUUGGUACCUUUUUGAUGUCAUCUAUUCACUUUUUUGCUUAAAUUACGUUCUGUGCAUAGAUCUUGUAACUCACUGCUUCUCCCAACACAUACACUCUGGUUGCUCGUUUUAUUCAGUGUUAGGAUCUUUAUCCAAUCUGAUUCAUCUUUCUACCCUGACAGCACAUAUUAUGAGGAGCAGCCUCAUAGUAAACCCUCAAUAAAUGCUUGUCAAAUGAAUAAAGGUGAGUUUAUAUUAGCAUAAAAUGUAUGUAUGUUUAUGUUAGCAUAGAAUAGUAUGACAUGGCUUUUGUCUGCUCUGGGACACUUUGAUUAUGGAUAUUGUGAGAACUGAGCAAAAGUGCUUUAACAUGGUAAAUGUCAGAUGUAUUUUACAGUGAAUAUGGUAGUAGUGGGUUCAGUCCUGAAGCUCCAAUAGACCCGUGAAGGAAACAUUUUAAUUCUUGGUUUUUGAAAUGUAACGUGGGCUCUUUCUAGGAAUCAAGAUAAAUCAGGUUGCAGGAUCACUGGAUGGUAAGAAGGUCUCUUUCUCAAUAUGUCUAUUCAUCUAUCAAUCAGUAUUCUAUUUGUAAUUUAAUAUAACUCAUAAAUAAGAUCAUGCUACUUGUAAUAUUCUAUUUUUCUUUUACUCUUAAAGAUACGUCUUAGAGAUCUUUCUGUGUACGUAUGUGUAGAAUCACCAUAAUCUUAUAUUGUUAUGUACAAUUUUGUGGUGUAGGCACACUUUAUGAAUGAAAUAGUUCCUUACUUCUGAACAGUAAGGUGAGCCUACAUUUUAUUGUUGAAUAUUAUAAUUAAUGUUGCAAUGGUGUACUUGUGCAUAACAAGAAUUUCUAUAGGAUGGUUCCCUAACAGUGAAUUACUGGGUAAAAGGAUAUACUUUUUUUAUGUUUAAAAUUUUGAUAGCUACUAGCACAUUACUCUCUUAAAUGGCUAUCAAUAUUUUCUUAUGUCUUUUCAAUGCUGACUUCGUUGUGCUUUGUCUAGGUAAAUUAUAGUAUAGUACAUUAAAGAAUCCUCAUGUCAGUAAGGGAAGGAUUUUGAAUUGAUGUCUGGUUUGAAAUUUUUACUUUGCCACAAUUUGUAUCAUCUUGGGUAAUUUGCUCCUUUUUUUUCUUUUCAGCUUCACUUUCUUCAUCCAUAAAAUAAAGGCAGUGAUAACAACCUUCCUUACUGAACUGUUGAAAAGAUUUAAUGACUUAACUGCAUGUGUAAAGUGGUGAAAUUCUUGGAGCUAAGAAUUAUAGGUAAUUUUUUUCCUUUCCUUUUUUAAGUUUUUAAUAUAAUUGAUUUAUUGUAUA
ensembl:lncRNA